ACAGCACAGGUGGGAUGCGAACCUAUAUCCGGUUCCGAGUCGCUCGUGUGAGUUUACGUCACGCAGCUUCGCUUGGACUGGCGAUUCGAGCCCUCGCAGGGCCGGCCACCACCUGAGCGGAGAGGGGUUGGGCUGAAUCGCCAAAAGUUCCCUUUUUUCCGUGCCGGGAAAGCUUUGAAAUUCUUAUUUUCAGGUAAACGAUUUUGACGGCUCCCGGAGAAGGACGGAAGCCAGACCCAGUGUGGGACUUCCGGCUUGUUACGGGAGAGCCCCUGGGGCGGGACGGGGAGGGCAACUUUUCCCCCCGAGCCCGGGGAGGCGGCGGUGGCAGAGCCGAGGCAGAAGCCGUCGCUCUUCGAUUUUUCCUCUUUGGAGUUUAUUCAUCUGCUCAGUCUGUCCUGUGGGGCCCACGUCUUCGGAAGUCCUGGUCGGAGUGGGAGGAGCGCCGGGGAGAAGACACACGGCCCUGCCCAGGGAAGAGUUUAUCCAGGAGAAAGAGGAAAGAGGGAGAGCUGAAAUGGACAAGACAGAGAAGAUGCUCCAUGGAGAAAAUUCUGGGAAGAGGUAGGAGCAGUUGGGUCCUUGGCAAGUAGAAGGAACUCUUCUUCCUCAGAGACAGGAGGGAAGGAAAAGGGAUCCCAUCCAGGUUCCCACAUCGCAUUUAGUUCACAUACUGUUUUGCAACCUGCUUGUUUUACUCAACAUUAUGUGUGAAUACCUUUCAAUGAUGCUAAACGUUCUUCUACACCAUCA